GAGUUUGAUCGUGGCUCAGAUUGAACGCUGGCGGCAGGCCUAACACAUGCAAGUCGAGCGGAUGACGGGAGCUUGCUCCUUGAUUCAGCGGCGGACGGGUGAGUAAUGCCUAGGAAUCUGCCUGGGUAGUGGGGGACAACGUCUCGAAAGGAACGCUAAUACCGCAUACGUCCUACGGGAGAAAGCAGGGGACCUUCGGGCCUUGCGCUAUCAGAUGAGCCUAGGUCGGAUUAGCUAGUUGGUGGGUAAUGGCUCACCAAGGCGACGAUCCGUAACUGGUCUGAGAGGACUGAUCAGUCACACUGGGAACUGAGACACGGUCCAGACUCCUACGGGAGGCAGCAGUGGGGAAUAUUGGACAAUGGGCGAAAGCCUGAUCCAGCCAUGCCGCGUGUGUAGAAGAAGGUCUUCGGAUU
rnacentral:rRNA from 1 species